UACAGGGGGUGCAAACGUUGCUCGGAAUCAUUGGGCGUAAAGCGCACGUAGGCGGUUCGUUAUGUCGGAUGUGAAAGCCCUUGGCUUAACCGAGGAAGUGCAUCCGAAACUGGCGAGCUAGAGUACUAAAGAGGAUCGCGGAAUUCCCGGUGUAGAGGUGAAAUUCGUAGAUAUCGGGAGGAACACCGGUGGCGAAGGCGGCUCACUGGCCCGAUACUGACGCUGAGGCACGAAAGCGUGGGGAGCAAACAGG
rnacentral:rRNA from 1 species